AACUACAGGAUAGCUCAAGGAUACCAGAUCUCCAUGGGCUUAGUCCUUGUGUCCCCAUCACAUCAGGAGCUGUGGAGCAUUGUUAUGGGAGGUUUGAGGAGGGAUAAUGUUCGUUGUAUAAACCUAUCACUCAUUCAGAAGUAAGCAUGUACUGCAGUUGUAAACCAUUUGUAAAUCAAGCACUUUCUUUUUCCUUUUUAUUCUUAUGCUGAACGUUUAUUUAUUAUUCUUUAAAUUUAGUACUAAAUACUUAAGUAUCUGCACCCACGUAUCUUGUCCCUAAGAUGGUGCCAUUGGCGGCAACAUUGCAAAUUUUUCACCGCACUCAUUCGAGUGCAUGUGACAGUAAAGCUAAUUCAAUUCAAUUUGAUUUAAACUUCAGCUGGGUGAAUCAUGCCAUCUCACUGGUGCAUGUAAAGCCACUCGAACAUGCUCUCCUCUCAGCUGUGACUGAUCAACUGCGUAGUUUUUAUUUAAUUAAGGUUUUUGUUGGCAAGGAAUUGUUUAGAAGCACAUUGAUGAUUUGGUAUAUUCUGAAUCGUUUUGGUGAAAAUAGAAGCAAUACUAGAACACUGUUACUUCGCUUUAGAACUUUUUGAUGUGUUAUGGAUAUCAUUAGUUUAUUCUGCGCAUUUAGAACCCGACCCAAGUCUUUUGGAUUAGUUACACUUAAUAACAAUAGGCUGUGUGUGCAGUCUGUGCCAGGAGUGAGGUGACAGUAAUGAUGUUGCAGGACAUUCCCUCAGGGCCUAACUGUUUUAACACAACACUGAUUGACAGUAUCCAGUUUCCCUCAAUAUUGUCACAUGUAUGCAUAUUUACUACCCCACAUUUAACAAAGGUAGUCAGUAUAGAUUGUAAUAUCCCUAACAGCAUGUACAAUAUGGAAUACACUGUGUUGAGAUUGCUUCAGGGAAUUCACAGCACUAAAUAGUUGCACACAGCAAAUGAAGUUUUAAAUACAGCUAAAACAAUUAUAACACAACUUCCAUCAUUAGUUGAUGUAGAUUAAAGCAAAGGGACAUUAAACGUGGUGGGAGGCAGGAAAAAACAACAGAAGUAACAACAAUUCAGCUCUCUAGUCGUAGUUCUAUCUCAAUCAUUAGUUCAUAUUUCAGGAAGCUUGUCACACAUUGCCAGGUGCUUCCAAAUGUACAGGAGGCAACUGAAGUGAUAUCUUUUGAAGAAACAGUAUGAUAUUAGCAGUGAUGAGCACUGACUUCCUUUGCUCUUUUCAGAGAGUCGCACUACUAGCCACCCAAUCACACAGGCUCUUCCAUAAUAGAUAUGCAUGACUAUGCAAUUCCAUUUUCUUUCUGCAGAUUGGACCCCCCUCGGGUACAGACAAAGUGAAGAAAGGUGGAUCCUACAUGUGCCAUAAGGCCUAUUGCUACAGAUACCGUUGUGCAGCUCGCAGUCAGAACACACCAGACAGCACUGCCUCCAAUCUGGGUUUCCGCUGUGCUGCUGAUGUUCUGCCAGAUUACCUGAGGUGAGCUGGCUUCUGGAGAGAGCCAACAGGAAAACAAGUGUCCAAAGUAUUAGCGUCCCUGAGGAUGGAAAGAUGCUGAAUACAUGUCAUGAUGGAACUUGCCCUUACAGCAGUCAGCCACUGGAGCUUAGUGGACAUCACCAAUAAGCUGGUGAAUGUCUCAGCCAUGGAUUCCUGCAAUCUUUCCACUUAGAUGGUUUCAAUUUAAAGGGAGAGGACAGGAGGCUUGAAAUGUGUUUCUUGCAAGAGUUUCAGCUAACACUUCGGGACUUACUACAUCUGGAUUCUGUCUUUGUUAUUGCUAAAACAAAAUUAACCUUCUUGAUUAGAAAUGUUACCAAAUACUGCAAAGUGAAUGAACUCAACAAGGCUGCUUUGAAAAGUAUUUUUUCACCAAACUUCCAGUUGAUGGUUUUCCAAGACCAAUCUUUCCACAAUGAUAUCGAAAGGCCUAUAAUAGAGUUUGCUUGUUUCUCAAACUGUUUUAAAAUUUCUGUAAAUAAACAUCACAUAAGAUCAUUCUCAAAUAUUGGACUGAGGUGAAUGGCACAGAGUAUUUUUGUAUACAGUUGUAAUGUAGACAAUACAUAAAAACAAAUAACUUACAUCACUAUACCAAACGUUCUUAGCAUCUCAGAGUACAUCACUAGCAAUGAAUUUGAAGUGUAGUCAAUGUUGUAAUGUAAAGAGAAACUGUAGCCAAUUCUAGGAAAAAUAUACAGGCAUUGGAAGCAGUCCAGGGAAGGUGUACUAGGCAGACUGGUCUAUAAAAGAGUUUGAGUAGACUGGGCUUGUACUUGUUGAAAUAUAGAAGUAUGAGAGGCAAUCUUAUUGAAACACAUAAGAUUCUUAGAGGACUUAACAGGAAAGAUGUGGAAUGGUGGUUUCCCCUGAUAGGAGAGUUUAGAACCAGACAGCAAACCUCAGAGUAAGGGGUCACAUAUUUAAGACAGAGUUGAUGAGGAAUUUCUUUCAGAGGGUAGUGAAUCUACGGUAUUCUUUACCACAAAGAAUUGUUCAGGCUGUAUUAUUAAGCAUCUUCAAGGCUGAGAUAGAUUUUUAAUCAGUAAGGGAGUUAUGGGGAAAGCCAGGAAAAUAGAGUUGAAGAUUAUCAGAUCAGCCAUGAUCUCAUUGAAUGGCACAGCAGACACGAUGGGCUGAAUGGCCUACUUAUGCCCCUGUGUCUUAUGGUCUUAAUUUGCAUGUAGCAAGCUCCAUACACAGCAAGUAAAUAAAUUACCAUGUAAUCCAUCUUGGCCGUAGUGGUUCAAGGGUAUGUGGAAAUAGCUGCAGCUCUAGCCAAGCUGAUCCAUGCAUCUACUUGACAAGGCAGAAAAGUCCCCAGGAAUGUCCUGUCUACAAAUCGAAUCUGGUAAAUAACUACCCAUUAGGUCUACUCUCAAUCAUCAGCAAAGUGAUGAGAGGGGUCUUCCACAAUGUUAUCAAAAUGUAUUGAUUCACCAGUAGACCUGCUCGCUGAUGCUCGGAUUCUUCAGUUCUGCCAGAACCACACAGGCUCCUGACCCUAUCCCAGCCUUGGUCCAAGUACGGACAGAAACACUGAAUUUGUGAAAUGAGGUGCAAGUGACUGCCCUUCAGCAAUGGCUGAAGGCAGCAAUUGUCUAGCUUUGGCCCCACGGAACCCAAAACAACAUUGAAGUCAAGGGCAGGAAGGCCACACACUCUCCACUGGUUGCUAACUAACACAAGAGAAGAUGGUUGUGGUUGCAGAGAUAUUGUUGCAGGAAUUCCUCAGUAGUGUCCUAGACCCAGUCAUUAUCAGCUGCUUCAUCCUUCUGUCCAUCAAAAAUGGGGAGAUUUGCUGGAUAUUGUGCCAUGUUAAUUCAAUUUAUGGCUGUUUGCAUAAUGAAGCAUUCCACAUCCACUUGGAGAAAGAACUGAACAAGUGGUGAGUAACACUCACACCAUACAAUUGGCAAGCAAUGACCAUCUUAAAAAGAAAAAGUGCGACCACUUCCCCUUGACAGUCAUAAGAUCAUAAAGAGGAGAAAGAGUAAGUCAUUUGAUCCAUCAAUUCUGCCAUGCCAUUUAAGAUCUUGGCUGAUCUGAUUGAGACUGUAACUACCUUCCUGCUUGUCUUCCAUAAACUCCCUUGCUGAUCAAAGAUCUGUCUGACUUAACCUUGAAAAUAUCCAAAGUUGUAGUCUCUGCUGCUCUUUGUGAAGGAAAUUACAAAGACGCCCUUAUUUUUGAACCAUGUCCUGGGGGUCUAGAUUUGCAAUGAGAGUAUUUACCCUGUCAAGCUCCCACUUCUAAACUCUAACGAGUAUCAGCUUUACCUACACAACUUUUCCUCGUAAGACCUUCAGCCUAGGAUUCAACCCAGUAACCUUUCUCUGAACUGCUUCCAAUGCACAUAUAUCCCUGCUUAGAAAAGGAGACCAAAACUAUACACAGCAUUCAGGUGUGGUCCCACCAAUACCUCGCAGUGUUGUAGAAAUAUUUCCCUGGUUUCAUGUUCCAUUGCUCGUUUUCUAAUUAAUUGCUGUACCUGCCAGUCACCUUUAUGUAAUUUGUAUAGAAGGAUUUAUAUUGCAGUAUACUGCGGUUUUCCUUAUUUCAAAUAAAUUCUGACCAUUUUUUCCACA